rnacentral:rRNA from 1 species
UACGGGGGGAGCAAGCGUUGUUCGGAUUUACUGGGCGUAAAGGGCGCGUAGGCGGCGCAACAAGUCACUUGUGAAAUCUCCGGGCUUAACCCGGAGCGGCCAAGUGAUACUGUCGUGCUAGAGUGCGGAAGGGGCUACUGGAAUUCUCGGUGUAGCGGUGAAAUGCGUAGAUAUCAAGAGGAACACCUGCGGCGAAGGCGGGUAGCUGGGCCGACACUGACGCUGAGGCGCGAAAGCCAGGGGAGCGAACGGG